UGUGGCCAGGGAGCCGCAGGCAAGGGACUAAGGGGAGGGGGGCUCAGUGCCAGCUGCUUAAAAAUGCCCCUGUGGCAGCGAGGGGCACCAGAGGCUGGGUCUAAUUAGUUGAGAAGCAGUGACACCCCCAACCACUCCCCAAACAGGCUGGCUCCCGUCUCCAGGCCCCAAGGAGCCACACCUGGACCAGACCCCAGGAAAGGCAAGGGCGCUAGCUGGUGGGAGCCACCCCGCCAUGCUGAUGUCAGAGAAGCAAGAACUCUGGAGAAGCAGCCUCCUGGGACCAGAGGAGGGCCAGCAGCAGGCAGCCCGGAGACAGAACUCUCACCCACGCCUCUCCAAGCCUCCCAACAGAAGACAGAGGUCCCCCACAGCCAGAGACAUUUCCUGAAGACAUGGGGAACACAGAGGCAGAAACAGCCCAUCCACCCAGGAGCUGUCCCCCACACUGCCGGGAGCCGGCACCCAGAGCCGCCAGGUAAAACUGAGGCCACCUGGUUCAACAUCACCUUUCACAGAAGGGGAAGCAGCCACAGAAAGAAGGGCCUCGUUAAGAAGUGGAACCUGGGACCCCCAAGCGGUGUCUCUCAUCCUGACUGGGGAUCCAGAGUAGGAGGGAGCCUUUGGUGGGGUAAGUGGAAUGGGGCGGGGUGGGGGGUGGCCAUAGACCCCUCUUCUCAGUAAGGCCCUCAUGUGAAGGAGGCAGGGGUUGGGACAAGUGCUAAGUAUGCAAGACUCAAGGGAAGAGCUGCUGGAGCCAGGAGAAGCACCUCCCUCCCGGCCCCUCUGCCCCUCCUCAUAGCCCAGCUGCACUGACUCCUCCUCCAGGAAGCCUUCUCAGCUUCCCCAGGGGUGGGAACCUUUUUGUCCUCCAGGUGUGCUUGGCUGUCCUUUCUUGGGCUCUCUCUCUCUCUCUCUCCUCAUCCCACUUGAGUCUGCCCCCUAUUCACCUUGUGAGGGGAAUUUUCCUUCUACUCAAUCUGACCGAGGUCCUCCAGGUCAAGGACAGCGAGGCUCUCAGUCCCACUUCCCCUUGGCACAUAGAAGAGGCAGUGCGCUGAAGGGACAGGUGAAAUGAUUAGACCCUGCCCCCAAACCAAGGCCUGGCCAAUUGGACAGGGCAUGAGACAUUCAGCGUAGAGGUUAAAACGAGGGCCCUGGGUUAGGAACCCCAGCUCAGUUCUCAGCUCUGUACCCUUGGAAAAUUCCCUUCCCAUGGAGCUUUGUGGAUGCACAAGGACUUGCACAAAGAAAACAUUCAAUAUCCAGGACUAUAAAAUUCCACAAAUGAUUGUGCUUAUUACAUUCAUUAUCACGAUGAUUAUUCCAGACACAAAGGAACAGAACGAGGCACCAACAGCAAGGGGCAAGCAGAUUCAAGGGCCACAGAGGAGAUGGAGGCAAACACCUUCCCCUGGUCAGAGGCUGUGCCUCAGCCCUUCUCCCUGCAUCAGUUUCUCCUUCAGAAGCAUGGGACUACCUCCCAUCUAGUUCUCGUUUCUAAACCUAGGGGAGAUGCUAUCUUUGCUGCAAUAAUCUUAGCCUACAUCUUGGAAUGGAAAUGGCCUUGGUGGAAAUGGUCUUCAACUCCUCUGGUCCAAGCUCAGGCCCUGUGACCCUGGAACAAUCCCCUUCCUGGUCCUCCAUGUAGGAGCAAUAACAUUCCCUUGCCAGCAGCACCAGCCAUUCUGAUGAUUAAAUGGUAUCGGACUCUGUUUUCCAAACUCAGUCAUUCAGAUGCCCCCUAUUUUAUUUCUUCCAUGUCUGCAAAUGAUUAUAAUAUUUUUAAAUGUAGGAUGAGUCCUUUUUAUUACACAUAGAAAUAGCUACUGUAAAUAGCAAACUCUAACACUGUGCCUAAUUAGGAAAUAAAGGUAACCAUAAAUACAGUAAAAA
rnacentral:lncRNA from 1 species